rnacentral:rRNA from 1 species
GAUGAACGCUGGCGGCGUGCCUAAUACAUGCAAGUCGAGCGAACGGACGAGAAGCUUGCUUCUCUGAUGCUAGCGGCGGACGGGUGAGUAACACGUGGAUAACCUACCUAUAAGACUGGGAUAACUUCGGGAAACCGUAGCUAAUACCGGAUAAUAUUUUGAACCGCAUGGUUCAAAAGUGAAAGACGAUCUUGCUGUCACUUAUAGAUGGAUCCGCGCUGCAUUAGCUAGUUGGUAAGGUAACGGCUUACCAAGGCAACGAUGCAUAGCCGACCUGAGAGGGUGAUCGGCCACACUGGAACUGAGACACGGUCCAGACUCCUACGGGAGGCAGCAGUAGGGAAUCUUCCGCAAUGGGCGAAAGCCUGACGGAGCAACGCCGCGUGAGUGAUGAAGGUCUUCGGAUCGUAAAACUCUGUUAUUAGGGAAGAACAUAUGUGUAAGUAACUGUGCACAUCUUGACGGUACCUAAUCAGAAAGCCACGGCUAACUACGCG